AACGAACGCUGGCGGCAUGCCUAACACAUGCAAGUCGAACGAGACCUUCGGGUCUAGUGGCGCACGGGUGCGUAACGCGUGGGAACCUGCCCUUAGGUUCGGAAUAACUCCCCGAAAGGGGUGCUAAUACCGGAUAAUGUCUUCGGACCAAAGAUUUAUCGCCUUUGGAUGGGCCCGCGUUGGAUUAGCUAGUUGGUAGGGUAAAAGCCUACCAAGGCGACGAUCCAUAGCUGGUCUGAGAGGAUGAUCAGCCACACUGGGACUGAGACACGGCCCAGACUCCUACGGGAGGCAGCAGUGGGGAAAAUUGGAAAAUGGGCGAAAGCCUGAUCCAGCAAUGCCGCGUGAGUGAUGAAGGCCUUAGGGUUGUAAAGCUCUUUUACCCGGGAUGAUAAUGACAGUACCGGGAGAAUAAGCUCCGGCUAACUCCGU
rnacentral:rRNA from 1 species